UCCUACGGGGGGCAGCAGGAAGGAAUUUUGGACAAUGGGGGAAACCCUGAUCCAGCAACGCCGCGUGGGCGAUGAAGGUCUUCGGAUCGUAAAGCCCUUUUCUGUGGGAAGAGGCAGGACGGUACCACAGGAAUAAGUCUCGGCUAACUACGUGCCAGCAGCCGCGGUAAAACGUAGGAGGCUAGCGUUAUCCGGAUUUACUGGGCGUAAAGCGCAUGCAGGCGGCACAGCAAGUUGGGCGUGAAAUCUCUCGGCUUAACCGGGAGGGGACGUUCAAAACUGUUGAGCUUGGGUGCAGGAGAGGGAAGCGGAAUUUCCAGUGUAGCGGUAAUAUGCGCAGAUAUUGGAAAGAACACCAGUGGCGAAGGCGGCUUCCUGGCCUGUAACCGACGCUAAGAUGCGAAAGCUAGGGGAGCGAACGGGAUUAGAUACCCCGGUAGA
rnacentral:rRNA from 1 species